GGGGAUUUAGCUCAGUGGUAGAGCACUUGCCUAGCAAGCACAAUGCCCUGGGUUCGGUCCCCAGCUCCG
rfam:Rattus norvegicus chromosome 12, whole genome shotgun sequence.